GAUGAACGCUGGCGGCGUGCCUAAUACAUGCAAGUCGAGCGAACAGACGAGGAGCUUGCUCCUCUGACGUUAGCGGCGGACGGGUGAGUAACACGUGGAUAACCUACCUAUAAGACUGGGAUAACUUCGGGAAACCGGAGCUAAUACCGGAUAAUAUAUUGAACCGCAUGGUUCAAUAGUGAAAGACGGUUUUGCUGUCACUUAUAGAUGGAUCCGCGCCGCAUUAGCUAGUUGGUAAGGUAACGGCUUACCAAGGCAACGAUGCGUAGCCGACCUGAGAGGGUGAUCGGCCACACUGGAACUGAGACACGGUCCAGACUCCUACGGGAGGCAGCAGUAGGGAAUCUUCCGCAAUGGGCGAAUGCCUGACGGAGCAACGCCGCGUGAGUGAUGAAGGUCUUCGGAUCUUAAAACUCUGUUAUUAGGGAAGAACAAAUGUGUAAGUAACUAUGCACGUCUUGACGGUACCUAAUCAGAAAGCCACGGCUAACUACGUG
rnacentral:rRNA from 1 species